UAGCGUAAUCACUUGUUCUUUAAUUGAGGACUAGUAUGAACGGCCCCACGAGGACUACACUGUCUCCUUUUUCUAAUCAAUGAAACUGAUCUCCUCGUGAAGAAGCGAGGAUAAUUAUAUAAGACGAGAAGACCCUAUGGAGCUUUAAACAACCGGGGUACUUGCUAAUUCAUUUUUAUAUCUUCUGAAAACUAAACAAAUUAAAGCAUCUUACCACCAAGUUUUAGGUUGGGGUGACCACGGAGAAAAAACUAACCUCCACGCUGUAAGAAAUCCACCAUCUUCUAAGCUUAGAGCCACAUUUCCAAGCAUCAACAUAUUGACUUCCAUUGACCCAAUAAUUUGAUCAACGAACCAAGUUACCCUAGGGAUAACAGCGCAAUCUACUUUAAGAGCUCAUAUCGACAAGUAGGUUUACGACCUCGAUGUU
rnacentral:rRNA from 1 species